UACGGAGGAUGCGAGCGUUAUCCGGAUUUAUUGGGUUUAAAGGGUGCGUAGGCGGGAUGUCAAGUCAGCGGUCAAACUGCGGGGCUCAACCCCGUAUUGCCGUUGAAACUGGCGUUCUUGAGUGAGUGAGAGGUAUGCGGAAUGCGUGGUGUAGCGGUGAAAUGCAUAGAUAUCACGCAGAACCCCGAUUGCGAAGGCAGCAUACCGGUGCUCAACUGACGCUGAGGCACGAAAGCGUGGGGAUCAAACAGG
rnacentral:rRNA from 1 species